rnacentral:sRNA from 1 species
AAGUGGCUUAAUGAUAAAAGGAGCCCA